rfam:Glycine soja cultivar W05 scaffold2861_2, whole genome shotgun sequence.
GAUCUAUUAGCUUAGGUUGUUAGAGCGUCGUGCUAAUAACACGAAAGUUACGUGUUUGAUUCUUGUUUAGGUCA